rnacentral:ribozyme from 1 species
GGACGGUGCAGCGUCCAUAAAUAGGCGUUAAGCUGCACGCGGGCGCCGACCACCGGGCGCCGUCGUU